rnacentral:rRNA from 1 species
ACUCCUACGGGAGGCAGCAGUGGGGAAUUUUGGACAAUGGGGGAAACCCUGAUCCAGCCAUUCCGCGUGUGCGAUGAAGGCCUUCGGGUUGUAAAGCACUUUUGGCAGGAAAGAAAUCGCACAAAUUAAUACUUUGUGUGGAUGACGGUACCUGCAGAAUAAGCACCGGCUAACUACGUGCCAGCAGCCGCGGUAAUAC